CCCUGCCAUUUGUACACACCGCCCGUCGCACCUACCGAUUGAACGGUCCGAUGAAAUCCUGGGAUUCGGCGGCGGCGCAUUCGUUUGCGCGUGUCGCUGGAGAACUCGAGUGAAUCUUAUCGUUUAGA
rnacentral:rRNA from 1 species